UUUUUUUUUUUUUUUUUUUGCUGCGCCUGAGGCAUGUGGAGGUUUCUGGGCCGGGGUCAAACCUUUUUUCUUUUUUUUUUUUUUUCUUUGUCUUUUUAGGGCCUCACCCAUGGCAUAUGGAGGUUCCUAGGCUAAGGGUCAGAUUGGAGCUGCAGCUGCCAGCCUACGCCACAGCCACAGCAACGCAGGAUCUGAGCCACAUCUUCGACCUACACUACAGCUCUCAGCAACACCGGAUCCUUAACCUACUGAGCAAGGCCAGGGAUUAAACUUGUUAAACUUGCGUCCUAAGGGAUGCUAGUCAGAUUCAUUUCCACUGAGCCACAAUGGGAACUCCUGAAGUUCUUUUUGUUAUUUUUCAUAUGAAUAUCCAAUCGUUCUGACUCAGCAAGACCUCUGGGCUCUGGGUUCUCCCUGUCUGUGCCGGGAGGGAAGGUGCCCCUGCUUAGUAGUCUGGGGCAACUAGAAGUCUCACCUUAUGUGUUGCUUUCUUCUCUCGGGGGCCAUGGUCCUGGACUGCCCAUGUCUGAUGUUUAAAAACAAUAAUUUCACACGUUUGUCUAGUUUAUAGCUGUUAGUUGUUUAUGGCAAAGGGCAAUUCCUAUAGUGGUUAAACUUGCAUGGGCUAAAAGAACUAUCACCUUCAUCACUUUGCUUUGAAACUUCUUGGUUCCUCAGUUGUAAAGUGGGGAUGGUACCCUCAGAGCAUUGGGGUAAAGGUCACCUGAAAGAAAGAGAAAAAAAAAAAAACUGUGAAAACCCCAUGGAAAGUAACAUUAUAAGAAAGAAAAAAUCUAGCAUAGGAAGACAAGCAGGUAUUAGGAAGUAAAAUUGGUACCAAAACGAAUGGUCGGUCAUCUCAUCAGAACUUCUGCUGGUCCCAUGGCCAGCUACGCUUACUCCCAGGCUCUCCUCCAGUGCCCAUCUGGCAGAAUGUACUUGAUGGCACACUAAACCGCAUGCCAGUGCAACCAGAUUCUGUUGGAUUUGCCAGCUGUAGAUUGUACCUUGUGGCGUCAUUCCCACAUUGAUGUAGGCCAGUGGCACCAGAAACCUCUUCAGUCUUAGAGACUGUUUCUUCCAGAACUAUAAACUGUAGCGCUGGCAAGACACUGAGAUCAGCAGUCCUAGCCACUCAUUACAGGUGCGUCGGCAGAGGUAAGCCCCACUUAUUUAAAAGAAUCUUCCCAGCCACUGAGACUCUCAAAAAGGUUUCACACCGUAUCUCAUUGCCGAAGGGCAAAAGGGAAGCCCCAGAUCCUUUGUGGGGAAGAGGUUAAAUGAAAUGGGGGGGUGUCUAAGCUGUGAUGAUACAGAAGUUGCUGAUUUCUCAAUCUUGUCCUUGGGAGCAAUUCGCUGACAAAGAACCCAAAGCAGUGUAUGCUAAGAAGUAAUUUUAUGUUUGUGUCUUCGGGUUGUCAUGUGUUUAUCCACAAGUAUUUCCUGACUUCCUCCCUGUGUUGGGCAGAGGCAAGGAUGGGAUGGUGGGUGGAGGCAAGAAGUGAAAACUGCUGGUCCCACCCAGGGCCUGGUGAGCUCAUUUUUAGCCUACCCAAAUCCCUUCAGAACUCUUCGGACUCCAUCUCCCAAGCCACAGGGACUGUUGUUAUUUUUGGGUUGACCAAGUAGUCUUCAAAUAGUAUUUUCAGAAGCUCAUCCUCCUUCCUCAAGAGCAGAUAAGGCGUUUGGUGCCUAAAAAAGUACUUGGAGAAUCUGCUGGGGCAGGGGAAGGAGGGAGUGUUUUCAGAGGGAUGUGUGUGUCGGGGCCAUGCCCGUACGCAGGGCAGAAGGGGUUCAGAGACCCAGAAAGUAGGCAAGACGUAAACAGCCGGCACCCGUUCAGGGUGCUUCUCAAGACGGAGCGAGUCUCCAAACGCUUCCGCCAGGUCCUUCUCCUUGUCUGUGACUGGAAGGGCCCUUCAGGUCAGGAUUACUGUUCACCAGGAGGAGCAGAGGAUUAAGUAGAAGAAUUGGAAUUUCCCUUCGAUAAGGAGAAGCCAAGAUGUAUUAAAUCACUCGAUUUGUGGUGUUGUUGUUGUUGUAGUUCCUAUGGUUUCCUCUCCUCUCCAAACAUAAUUGUGUUUUUUUUUUAUACUGAGAAAUUGCAUAACAGACCAUUAACAGCACAGAGUGUACAAACUAUCAUCUCUGAUUAUUUUUAGAACCAGUUUAUCAACUGGUCCAGAUAAGAACAUUUGUUGGGUCUGAUUACCAGAUCUCUCUGACCAGAGCUCCAGUUCUUUGAAAUAGAAAAAGCUGACCGUCUCACUGUGCCUUAAAAGUAAAAUCCACUUUGUAUUCUCUCACUUUUUUUAAGGAGAGUAAAGGGGUGGGGGUGGGGGGGGCUUCUACAGACGUUUCCUGAUCGAGCGGGAUCGGAGAAUUCCGAGUCAUUACCAUAUGUGAGAGAGAAAUUCAUUCAUUCAUUCAUUUGUCCGAAACUUCUACAGACGUUUCCUGAUCUAGCGGGAUCAGAGAAUUCUGAGUCAUUACCAUAUGCGAGAGAGAAAUUCAUUCAUUUGUUCACUCAAUCAUUCAAGGAGACAGCACAGGAAAGGUAGAAUCAAGAACCUGCCUCUGAGGCUCAAUGGCAAGCGACCACCAGAGUGGCACGGUCCAUACCCUGGCCAUUUAUACAGCGUCCCCAGUGUGGCAGUGAAACUGUUUUUUUCUGUUUGAUUGGCCUCUUUCUAAGUAGAACAAUUUUGCUGUGAUUACUGGGGUUUUAGCUUCUCCCAUAACGGUCUCUGCGGGGGCCAAGAAAACAGUGUCCCUCGGGGCCUGUACACCAACUCCCUCUGGCCCCAUUAAUUUUGGCCAGUUCAGCACAAAGCAAUGAGGCUAUCUUGGUUUGUGACAUAACCAGCGAAGGCCAGGAACUGUAUACUAUUCAGGAGCCUCUUGGUUGAGCCCUAGAUGAAGGGGUUGACAUGAUGAGGAGCCCUGAUAUACAAAAACAAACACCGUUCAGCACUAGAAUUAGACACGUUCAGCACGGCAAGCUGUUUACACUCCAAGAAGCGCGGAUGAUCUCAGGUGGUCUGAGAAGUGUGGUCCCUGCAUCAGCACAUCAGCAUCGCCCCAGAAUUGGCUAGAGAUGAGGUUGGGGGGCCCUGCCCUAGACAUCCUGAGCCAGGAGCUCUGGAGGUGAGCGCACCAGCCUUUGAGAACCACUGGUCUGAGGUAACCACACAGCCACCCUCUGGGGAUAUGCUCAGUGCUUGGAAUGUCAGAUGAAACUGCCCUCGCUCUUUUAAUUGUUAUUUUUCAAUCCCUUUCUCUCUGUUUGCUGAGUAAAGUUAAAUUCACCUAAAUGCUCUUGUGGUGAAACUCCACUGUAUCCAUAAUUAUGUGGUAAUGAUAUCAUCCACAUUGUUUUCCAGAGUGCCCUUAUUAAGGCUAUUUAGAUUAAUAUGCAUCUUUUCAGAUUAUGUUGACUUUUUGAAAAUCAAACUGGUAUGAAUAGCUGUGAAAAUCAAAGAUAACUGACCCAUGGGCCUGCCCUUUGGGGCUGUGCUCCUCCUCUAGGGAAGAGGCAGACUUCCCUAAACAAUAAAACAGGACCUCGGACCUUGCUUGCUCAAGGUAGUGCUGCUUUUAAAUCCUCCCUCAGCCACCAGAGUCGAUGUUAGCGCCCUCCCUUGGUUGCUUGGGGAAUGGCAGCUUUGAAAUCCAGUUGAUUAAGCAAUCACAGUUCAGGUCAUAGACAUAACACUGAAAUCUGCAGCUCGCCAGAGAACCGAGAACCGAAACUGCUAAAAUAACACAUCUGAGAUUCCCAGAGGGAAUUGUGUGAAUGGGCCACUGUGCUUCUUCACACAGACACUCCACUUGCUGUCCUGCAGGACUCGGCAAAGUCCCUCCAUCCCUCUCUAGGAAAUCUCUGUUCAGGCACCUCAUGCUCUCCAAACAGAUCAACCUCAGGAAACUUCCUUCGACUUCUCCAAAGCGGCAGUUUCCUAAUGCUGCUCCCUGGUGAUAUGUUUGCAAUAAAACGACAGUAAAAUGACACUAUAGCAUAUUUUUUUUUUCUUGGAAAGAAUUGUCCUUUAUGGAGCUCCCUUCUGGCACAGUGGGUUAUGGAUCUGGCAUUGUCGCUACAGUGCCUCACGUUGCUGCUCUGGCAUGGGUUCGAUCCCUGGCCCUAGAACUUCCACAUGCCAAGGGUGCAGCCAAAAGAAAAAUAAAUAAAUAAUUGUCCUUUUUAAUUGUAAUUGAUCUUUUUCAUAUGUGACUAUGAAAUUACUACUUUUUUGGUGUUCACAUAGCCUUUCUUUCAUGAAAUGAUAAUAGAUGGUAGAUUUCUAACAUCCUCUCUUUACAAAAUGAAAUGUUGGCAACUUAUACCAGCCUGUCAUUGUUUUGAUAUUUGAUUAGUCCUUGAAUUCCAAACUUGGGAAUUAUUUCUCUUUUGAACCAGGACAUGGCAUGGCAGGAGGUAUUGUCCUUCCAAGUGGAUCCAGCCUUUAAGCCAUUUCUUUAAAGGCUAUUCUUGCUCU
rnacentral:lncRNA from 1 species